rnacentral:lncRNA from 1 species
GCCCACCAUCUACUCAGUCCAAGCUUGUUAAUCAACCACCUGCGUAUACCACACCCAGCAAAGCCCCCUGAGUGACUCACAGUCACAACCAGCGUACUAAUCUUUCCUCUGUGUCCUUCCAGGUUCUUCUGAGGACAACCUGAGUUUAGUAUGCCCACCACCAAAUGAAGAUGAUGAUGGUAAUCAUGAUGUUGAUGAUGCCCAGAUUUCACCAUCACAUGUCCAGGCUUGGCCUGAGGAUGGCCUGUUCUUACGAUGUGCGCCACGAUGCAAAGAUGAAGAUGAUGAUGAUGAUGAUGAUGAUGAUGAUGAUGAUGCCUAUGUAAGACCCCCCUAUUUUAUCUUCUACAGCAAUGUUGUUUUCCUGAUCCCUUUACUACUCAAUUUUGAUAUGAAAAUCUGGCAGUGCACAUUAUGUACACUGUACACUAUUCUCUUUGUGGGGCUGGAGUUCAGUAGAAGUGUCUUCCCAACUGAUACACGUUACAGUAGGGUGC